rnacentral:rRNA from 1 species
AGACGGGGGGGGCUAGCGUUGUUCGGAAUUACUGGGCGUAAAGGGUGCGCAGGCGGCCUGGGAAGUCUUGGGUGAAAGCCCCCAGCUCAACUGGGGAAUGGCCUGAGAAACCACUGGGCUGGAGUGCUGGAGAGGGAAGCGGAAUUCCCGGUGGAGCGGUGAAAUGCGUAGAUAUCGGGAGGAACACCAGAGGCGAAGGCGGCUUCCUGGACAGACACUGACGCUGAGGCACGAAAGCUAGGGGAGCAAACGGGAUUAGAUACACCAGUAGUCC